CCUAUCCUCUCGCGAUGCAUUCACACUCCACACUCUCCUUAAUAGGAUCUUCUUCCUAUCCUCUCAGAACCCAUCCUCUCAGAUCCUAUCCUCUCAAAGCUUCUUCCUCUCUCCGUCCACGUUCUCUCCAUCAUAGGAGCUUCUUUCACCGCUGUCGCUCUCUCCAUCGCUCCGUCCACGAUCUCAUCACUGACAGCAACUGCCAUUCGCUGGUCAUCCUCAUCCACCAGUUCAGGACAUGCAUUUAUCGCAAGAAAACUUAGCGUGGAUCUUCAGCAUUCAUGGAAAAGGAGAUACCUUUUACAGGAAUAUUAAGCAAUAAGGCUGAACAAAAUCCAGAUUUUUUCAACUGGAAUAGAGUGAAAAUUUGUUAUUAUGAUGGUGCCUCUUUUGUUGGGGACAGUGAACAUAAGGUAGAGUUUGAAUCUCAGAGAUAACACAUUGGUAACGACAUUCAUAGAAUAAGGGUUACCACACAAAACUAAGUGAAUGUUGUCUACUAAGAUAGGCUGCACGUCUACAAUUUUGAGGACAGCGCAUUUGGAUGGUUGCAAUGGAGGAUCUGAUGCCGAAAGGAAUGUGUUUUGUCAAAAGUGAAGUGUCUCAGUGAUGCUGGGCUAUUUUUUGAUGCGCCUGGUGUGUGGGAAAAUAAAGGUUGUCAAGUGCAGUAAUCUAGAUUCUUGUAAACUCGUAUAACUCAUCUGAGAUGAACCAACAAGUUCAAGCUGAAGUACCAAUGCUUUCUGAAACAAGUUUGGGAAUCUAAGUUUAUUUACCACUUAUUGAUGGCUGUGAUAUAUUGCGUUCCAUGAAAGAGUCAAACACCACCGGCCUCCCCACCAGCCAUUUGGCCAGUUCUGUUUCGGCUAUCACAGCUGGAGAAAAGAGUACUACGAAACAAGAUGAGUUGAAGGAUGUUCGAAACUGUCUUGCUUCACAGGAACAAUCUUAUGCCAAAGAAACCUUAACAAGAAAGGAAGCAGAGACUAAAGCCAAGAGCAUGGAGUUUGAAAUUGGAAGAUUGCAAAAGAAAUUGGAAGAAAGGAACGAGCAGCUUCAGGCUUCAGCCUCUUCUGCUGAAAAGAUUAUGGUCAGUUAACAGAAAAGGCAGAUGUAUAUAGUUUCAGAAGAGCUAUUUGAUCUAGUUUCAGAUAACAAUAUUAAUGAGAAAUAUGAGAUUUUAAGAGUGGUGCACAUAGUACUUCUAUGCACACAAGAGAACCCUUCCUUGAGGCCAACCAUGUCAAGGGCACUACAGAUGCUAACAAAGAAGGAAGAGAAUCUUACACGUCCUUCUAGAACAGAAAUUUAAUUCAGUUAAUGGCUUCUUCUUUGAUGAGUAACUUUACAAAGGAUGUGCAUAUUCUGCGUAGGCAGAGCACUGGUUUUUCGAGGGGUAGCUCCAAAUACAGGGGAGUUACCAUGCAUCACACACAAAACCUUGAUAAAUAACUUGGAUUAACAUGCAUUUGGAAGUGAAGAAGUGGGGGAUGCGUAUGGUACUCAACCAGGGUUUGGAAUGAACCCAAUUCUGACAGAACUACUUUGAUUAUUGCCCAACUCAUCGAGAACUACCUUGCUUGGCUUCUCAAAGUCUAACAUCGACCUUCUUCUAUUCUAUUUCCUUCUUGUUUUGACUGUGAGUUUCCUCUACAACCGUAACUAUAACAGUAAUUUUAACUAUGUGAUGGUUCUUAUGAUCCAUAACAAUAACAUAUCAUUUUUGUUGUCAAAAGGUUAUUUUUUCUAUUUCUAGAAGCUCCCCAUUUCUUUGCUGGGUUUUUCUUGUAUAUAUUGCACUUGUAAAAUAGGAAGGGGUCUCGAUAUGGACAUGAUACGAUCAUUGAUAGUAUGAUCAAAGAUGGGCUUUGGAAUGUCUAUAAUGACUUUGGCAUGGGAGUUUGUACAGAACUAUGUGCAGAUCAGCAUGUCAUAACAAGAGAUGAGCAGGUUAUGUAAUAUAUUUCAUGCUAUGCUUAUGUAUUUCUUUAUGAUUUUUUCCCUUUUUUUCUUUUGUGGUAUCUCCUGCCUCUAUUGGUAUAACUAGAGAAAUUUGUCACCAAAUUCACAUCAGUUCGGUAAUAAAAAAAUAUGUAUCUGUUGUUGAUUUUUGGAAGGCAAGGGGAAUUAUUCAGUUCAUUAUUAUUUUUCUUUUCAGUGUUAUCUCAGCAUCUAGCCUUUUGGUACCGCCAAGGUUAAGUUUGAUGCUGCAAAGUUAAAGAAGCUUAGAGCAAACUUCAAGCAGAAUGGUGGUACUGUGACUGCUAGCAAUACUUCUAGCAUAAGAUGAUUGAGAUGUUGAGGGUGAUUCAUAAUGAACUCAUCAAAAAACAUGUUAGUGUUCAUGCUACCAUGCUGCUGAAAGAGGCUUGGCUUUGUUGGAAAUUUUGAGAGAACUACAUAUGCUCAGUCAAAUACAAACAAAUCAAAGAAGAAGUAGAUGAACAAAUACUUUCAAGUUUCAUCCACACAAGAGUCUACCAUGGAGUGAAGAAUCAUGCAACUCAGAUUAGAUUGGAGAGUUUAAACUUUAAAGAGAGCAUGAGGAAAUAGUUUUAAAAUUUAGGUUGAAAGUCCUGCCCUUCUCUGUUGUAGUUUAAAAGAAAUUUUGGGGUAUAUUUUUAUUGAGACAGUGAGAUAAUGGAUAAUGGUGUUGAAAAAUAACAUCCAAUUUUAUAGUAUCAUGAAAUGAAUAUUAUGUUUAUCUA